rnacentral:rRNA from 1 species
CCUACGGGAGGCAGCAGUCGAGAAUCAUUCACAAUGGGGGAAACCCUGAUGGUGCGACGCCGCGUGGGGGAAUGAAGGUCUUCGGAUUGUAAACCCCUGUCAUGUGGGAGCAAAUUAAAAAGAUAGUACCACAAGAGGAAGAGACGGCUAACUCUGUGCCAGCAGCCGCGGUAAUACAGAGGUCUCAAGCGUUGUUCGGAAUCACUGGGCGUAAAGCGUACGUAGGCUGUUUCGUAAGUCGUGUGUGAAAGGCGCGGGCUCAACCCGCGGACGGCACAUGAUACUGCGAGACUAGAGUAGUGGAGGGGGAACCGGAAUUCUCGGUGUAGCAGUGAAAUGCGUAGAUAUCGAGAGGAACACUCGUGGCGAAGGCGGGUUCCUGGACAUUAACUGACGCUGAGGCACGAAGGCCAGGGGAGCGAAAGGGAUUAGAUACCCGGGUAGUG